AAUAAAUCAUGUUGCAUUCUGCUUUUUAUCAAAAGAUUCAGAGGAGGUGAACUGCAUACAGCACAAUGAAGCUACAAGAGAAGCUCUGACUGUUUUGUUUUCCCCCCCCACUUCAUCAAGCUACUGUACGCAUGGCCUUUCAAGAUGAGCAACUCCCAUAGAACAGGACUUACUGUGGACGAAUCUUUGACUGACCUCAUUGAGAUGAAUGAAGAAUAUGGCAGAUGAAAUGAGAAUGAGGGGAUUAUCCAUCUGAAAACUGAGGACAUCCAGUUAAAGCUCAUCUUAUUUUAAUCUUCAUGUGGAUGAUUGAUCAUACCCGCCAGCUGGCUAAUAUCAUAAUUAACAAAGUUGCUACCACGUCUGAGAAGUAUAAUCGAAAAAUUUACCAGCAGUGUGAUGCCAUUGUCACAAGAUCAUAA
rnacentral:lncRNA from 1 species